rnacentral:SRP_RNA from 1 species
GCCAGGCGUGGUGGCGGGCACCUGUAAUCCCAGCUACUUGGGAGGCUGAGGCAGGAGAAUCGCUUGAACCCGGGAGGUGGAGGUUGCAGUGAGCUGAGAUUGCGCCACUGCACUCCAGCCUGGGUGACAGAGUGAAAUUCUGUCUCAA